rnacentral:rRNA from 1 species
UAGCCGUAAACGAUACUCGCUAGGUGUCGGCCACGGUGCGACCGUUGUCGGUGCCGUAGGGAAGCCGUGAAGCGAGCCACCUGGGAAGUACGGCCGCAAGGCUGAAACUUAAAGGAAUUGGCGGGGGGAGCACCACAACGGGUGGAGCUUGCGGUUUAAUUGGAUUCAACGCCGGAAAUCUUACCGGGACCGACAGCAACAUGAAGGCCAGGCUGAAGACUUUGCCGGAUUAGCUGAGAGGAGGUGCAUGGCGUAGUCGUGU